AUUCCUCCACCCUUUCACUUUGUUGUUGAAAGGGAUGGGAUUUGGGGGCUUUGCGGGAUCUCUCUAGAGUCCGCUCCCCUUGAAUGCAUUAGCAAAAAGACCCUCGUGGCCUCGGUGUGAUAAUUAUCUACGCCGUCCGGACGCGAAUAGACUUUUGCUUCCAAUCGUCUUCGGACAAAACACAUCUGAU
rnacentral:misc_RNA from 1 species